rnacentral:rRNA from 1 species
AUGGGUUCGGGGGAAGACGGGCAGCUGGGCAUGGGCCGGUGCGACGAGAAGGACUGGGCCCGCUGCAUCGGCGCUCUGGAUGCGUACGCCGUCUCCGCCGUCGUAGCCGGCAGCCGCAACUCCCUCGCCAUAUGCGACGACGGCAGCCUCUUCACUUGGGGGUGGAAUCAGCGGGGAACGCUCGGGCACCCGCCGGAGACCAAGACAGAGAGCUCCCCGGCGCAUGUCGACGCCCUCAUCGGGGUCAAGAUCGUGCAGGCAGCGAUCGGCGGGUGGCAUUGCCUCGCGGUGGACGACAAGGGGCGGGCUUACGCUUGGGGGGGCAACGAAUAUGGGCAGUGCGGGGAGGAGCCUGAGAGGAAGGAAGAUGGCACAAGGGCACUCAGGAGGGACAUCCCCAUCCCACAGCGAUGCGCUCUCAAGCUCAAAGUUCGGCAAGUAGCUGCGGGGGGGACUCACUCAGUGGUUUUGACACAAGAAGGCCAUGUCUGGACAUGGGGACAACCGUGGCCUCCGGGUGAUAUCAAAAAAAUAUCUACGCCAGUACGUGUGCAAGGGCUUGAACAAGUGAGCAUGAUUGCUGUAGGGGCAUUCCAUAAUUUGGCACUGUCAGUAGAUGGAAUCUUGUGGGCAUGGGGUAAUAAUGAAUAUGGCCAGCUGGGGAUUGGAGAUACCCAACCGAGAUCACAACCGAUCCGUGUUGAAGGGCUAUCUAACCUCUCAUUGGUUGACAUUGCUGCUGGAGGUUGGCAUUCAGCCGCAUUAACUAAAGAAGGAGAGGUAUAUGCUUGGGGAAGAGGAGAACAUGGGAGGCUCGGCUUUGGGGAUGAUAAGAGCAGUCACAUGGUGCCGCUAAAGGUUCAGCUUCUAGCAGGAGAGGAUAUUGUUCAGGUAUCAUGUGGAGGGACCCAUUCAGUUGUGCUAACCAGUGAUGGCCGAAUAUUCUCUUAUGGGAGGGGCGAUCAUGGCCGUCUAGGCGACGGUAGGGAGGUGACUACGGGUCACCCAAUGGAAGUGCCCAUAAACUUGCCGCCACCGAAGACCAGCACCAGCUCCGAAGGGCUAUGGCAAGCGAACUACGUUGCCUGUGGCGGACGACACACACUCGCCAUCGUGACAUGGACUGAUAUGUAA